rnacentral:rRNA from 1 species
UUGCCUGGCGGCAGUAGCGCGGUGGUCCCACCUGACCCCAUGCCGAACUCAGAAGUGAAACGCCGUAGCGCCGAUGGUAGUGUGGGGUCUCCCCAUGCGAGAGUAGGGAACUGCCAGGCA